rnacentral:lncRNA from 1 species
GGCAGCGCGGCUCCGCCCAGGGCAGCCGGAGCUGCGGCGCUGGGGACGGUGAGGUCUCCCUCUCCAGCUCUCGGCCUCUGCUCAGGGAGACACUAGCAGUGCUGGAGCUCCUGCUGGGGUCCUGUCCCCUGCCUUUCCACCCGCCGCUCCCUGGCCCCGGGACAGAAAGCAGGCCUGCAAAAUCUGCUUCACAUGACCUGGCCGAGCACGACAUGGGCCAGAUGGUCACCAAGUCCGAAGCGAGCAUCUCAGAAGCAGUCCAGCCCCCUUUCUCUGUGCCCCACCAUGCUCUGCUGCGUUCUCGGUCCCCCUGCAUUCUGGUGAUCAGCUGUGCCUCGAGGUCCCGGGGGACAGUUGCAUCUCCUG